rnacentral:rRNA from 1 species
CACGUAGGGGGCAAGCGUUGUCCGGAUUUAUUGGGCGUAAAGAGCUCGUAGGCGGCUUGUCGCGUCGACUGUGAAAUCUCAGGGCUCAACUCUGACAUUGCAGUCGAUACGGGCAGGCUAGAGUUCGGUAGGGGAGACUGGAAUUCCUGGUGUAGCGGUGAAAUGCGCAGAUAUCAGGAAGAACACCCGUGGCUAAGGCGGCUCUCUAGUACGUGACUGACACUGAGGGACGAAAGCUAGGGGAGCGAAUGGG